AUCCUUUAUAAUUGUAUUCGGAUGGCUCUUUAUUAUUGAUCACUAAUUGAGAAACGAAACCCUUUUCCAAAUAAUUAUAAACCUAGAUGUUGUUGCGGGACUCACAAUUCUAUGGAUCAAGCGGAGGAGGCGGCAGUUCUUUAUCGUGUUUUUAUUGGAUUAAGAUCAACUCCAGUGAUAAAACCAAUCACGACCCUAGAGCUGUUUGAUCCGGUGGCUGGUAGGAUAUUACGGCGUUUGGUAUGGCUUUGCGUUGGCUUGGACAGAAGAAGAACCACGAGACUGCUUUCAUUUCGUAAUUGGAUCUCCCUGAGGAUGAUUAGGCUUGCAAGCAUGACAGAUACGGAACAUGUUUCCACUUCUCCAACCAAACCAUUUAGCUGCUGAAGAAUUUCUUCUCAAACCAACCAUUUAGCUGAUGAAGCAUUUGUUAAAUCCUCAAGUUCAGAGUCUUCUUGAAAAGUUGGCCACAACACACCCAACAGUAGGAUUAUUUCUAGAGAAAGAAAAAAGAGGAUACAACAAAAGCUUGAACGGUCUCACGUGACGCUUGCCCACAAGAAAAGUCACGACGUAGCAGCUAUAGCCAGCUAUGGCUAGAACUUGAACAGAGAGGUAGCCGUAUAGCUCAUUGAUAUCAUGGACAACAACAAGAUGGCGGACCUGUGGAUGGGAAAGCAUAGUCUCCAAGAACGAGUGGCCACAUGUUAUCUACAAGUGAUCAAAAACCCUUAUAUUACCAUAUGUGAGUUCAAAAACGAUGUCCAUCAGAAACCCAACAUCAAAAUCAGAAACACUUUUAAGAAAUCAACAACAGAAAGAACAGAUUUUUUAUUUA